rnacentral:tRNA from 1 species
GCGCUGAUGGUCUAGUGGCAUGACUGGGGCCUUCCAAGCCCUAAACCCGGGUUCAAAUCCCGGUCGGCGCA